rnacentral:rRNA from 2 species
GGGAUUGCCCUAGUAACGGCGAGUGAAGCGGCAAAAGCUCAAAUUUGAAAUCUGGGGCUCUUGUGGCCUCCGAGUUGUAAUUUGCAGAGGUGGUCUCGGGACGUGAGUCGGCCCAAGUUCCUUGGAAAAGGACACCAGAGAGGGUGAGAGUCCCGUACCUGGCCGGCACCACGUUCCAUGUGAGACCCCUUCGACGAGUCGAGUUGUUUGGGAAUGCAGCUCUAAGUGGGUGGUAAAUUCCAUCUAAAGCUAAAUACCUGCCAGAGACCGAUAGCGCACAAGUAGAGUGAUCGAAAGAUGAAAAGCACUUUGAAAAGAGAGUCAAACAGUACGUGAAAUUGUUGAAAGGGAAGCGCAUGGGGGCAGACUUGACCGCGGGGUUCGGGGCGUCUUCUGGCGUCCUUACUUCCUCGCGGGCAGGCCAGCAUCGGUUCCGGGGGCCGGACAAAGGCGUCGGGAAUGUGGCUCUCUUCGGGGAGUGUUAUAGCCCGUCGCGCAAUGCGGCCACCUGGGAUCGAGGACCGCGCUUCGGCGAGGAUGCUGGCGUAAUGGCCCUAUGCGGCCCGUCUUGAAACACGGACCAAGGAGUCUAACAUCUAUGCGAGUGUCUGGGUGUCAAAGCCCGGACGCGCAAUGAAAGUGAACGCAGGUGGGAGCCCUCACGGGUGCACCAUCGACCGAUCCUGACGUCUUCUGAAGGAUUUGAGUACGAGCAUAGCUGUUGGGACCCGAAAGAUGGUGAACUAUGCGUGAAUAGGGUGAAGCCAGAGGAAACUCUGGUGGAGGCUCGCAGCGG